rnacentral:rRNA from 1 species
UGCCAGCCGCCGCGGUAAUACGGAGGGGGUUAGCGUUGUUCGGAAUUACUGGGCGUAAAGCGCGCGUAGGCGGACUGUUAAGUCAGGGGUGAAAUCCCGGGGCUCAACCCCGGAACUGCCUUUGAUACUGGUAGUCUUGAGUUCGAGAGAGGUGAGUGGAAUUCCGAGUGUAGAGGUGAAAUUCGUAGAUAUCAGGAGGAACACCGAUGGCGAAGGCAUCUCUCUGGGCCGAUAUUGACGCUGAGGUGCGAAAGUGUGGGGAGCAAACAGGAUUAGAUA